rnacentral:rRNA from 1 species
GACGAACGCUGGCGGCGUGCUUAACACAUGCAAGUCGAACGGAAGGGCCCUGCUUUUGUGGGGUGCUCGAGUGGCGAACGGGUGAGUAACACGUGAGUAACCUGCCCUUGACUUUGGGAUAACUUCAGGAAACUGGGGCUAAUACCGGAUAGGAGCUCCUGCUGCAUGGUGGGGGUUGGAAAGUUUCGGCGGUUGGGGAUGGACUCGCGGCUUAUCAGCUUGUUGGUGGGGUAGUGGCUUACCAAGGCUUUGACGGGUAGCCGGCCUGAGAGGGUGACCGGCCACAUGGGGACUGAGAUACGGCCCAGACUCCUACGGGAGGCAGCAGUGGGGAAUAUUGCACAAUGGGCGGAAGCCUGAUGCAGCAACGCCGCGUGCGGGAUGACGGCCUUCGGGUUGUAAACCGCUUUCGCCUGUGACGAAGCGUGAGUGACGGUAAUGGGUAAAGAAGUACCGGCUAACUACGUG